GACAGCAGUAGCCGCGGUAAUACGUAGGUGGCAAGCGUUAUCCGGAAUUAUUGGGCGUAAAGCGCGCGUAGGCGGUUUCUUAAGUCUGAUGUGAAAGCCCACGGCUCAACCGUGGAGGGUCAUUGGAAACUGGGAAACUUGAGUGCAGAAGAGGAAAGUGGAAUUCCAUGUGUAGCGGUGAAAUGCGCAGAGAUAUGGAGGAACACCAGUGGCGAAGGCGACUUUCUGGUCUGUAACUGACGCUGAUGUGCGAGAGCGUGGGGAUCAAACAGGAUUAGAUACCCGUGUAGUCCCUGUCUCUUAUAC
rnacentral:rRNA from 1 species